rnacentral:rRNA from 1 species
GACGAACGCUGGCGGCGUGCCUAAUACAUGCAAGUAGAACGGACAGUUUAUACCGUAGCUUGCUACACCAUAGACUGUGAGUUGCGAACGGGUGAGUAACGCGUAGGUAACCUGCCUGGUAGCGGGGGAUAACUAUUGGAAACGAUAGCUAAUACCGCAUAAUAUUGAUUAUUGCAUGAUAAUUGAUUGAAAGAUGCUAUUGCAUCACUACCAGAUGGACCUGCGUUGUAUUAGCUAGUAGGUGAGGUAACGGCUCACCUAGGCGACGAUACAUAGCCGACCUGAGAGGGUGAUCGGCCACACUGGGACUGAGACACGGCCCAGACUCCUACGGGAGGCAGCAGUAGGGAAUCUUCGGCAAUGGACGAAAGUCUGACCGAGCAACGCCGCGUGAGUGAAGAAGGUUUUCGGAUCGUAAAGCUCUGUUGUAAGAGAAGAACGGGUGUGAGAGUGGAAAGUUCACACUGUGACGGUAUCUUACCAGAAAGGGACGGCUAACUACGUG